rnacentral:rRNA from 1 species
CACGUAGGGCGCGAGCGUUGUCCGGAAUUAUUGGGCGUAAAGAGCUCGUAGGCGGCCUGUUGCGUCCGCUGUGAAAGCCCGGGGCUUAACCCCGGGUCUGCAGUGGAUACGGGCAGGCUAGAGGUAGGUAGGGGAGAAUGGAAUUCCCGGUGUAGCGGUGAAAUGCGCAGAUAUCGGGAGGAACACCGGUGGCGAAGGCGGUUCUCUGGGCCUGUUCUGACGCUGAGGAGCGAAAGCGUGGGGAGCGAAACAGGAUUGAGAA